GUAAAGAAACUGGCAAACCCAGAGGAUGGGGAAAGGCCAGAAGAGAUGUAAGCAGCUCAGGGGAAAAGCAGCAAGGUACAGGGAAUAGACCUUGGUUGCUGUGUAGAGGGUCUCUGAGGCAGAACCUGAAUAAAGCAUGGGCCUGGGAUCAGGGCUUUGGAGCAGAGUGCAAAACAGCAGGUUUUUGCCUGGAGCUGGAGCAGAGCCAGAGCACAGCUCCAAAGCCCUGUCUGUGUUCCUCUGCCAGCCUCUGUGGGAGUGGCACUGUGAGGCAGUGAAGCAGAAGACCACAUGAGAUUGCUGAAGAGCAGGAACCUUGGUAAACUCCCCCCAGGAAGGAGAAAUCACAAUAGUGACCUGGCUAGAGGGCUGAGUCAUGAAGAGGACACCUGUAGUUCCUGAGAGAGGCACAGCAGAGGAGAAACCAACAGGGUGUAACAACAGGAAGGGAAGUCAGCCUGAUCGUACUAGUCCCCAGAACUGCUAGCAGGCAGCACUAUCCAGUGGUUUUUGUGAAGGGCCUCCGAUAUCAAAUGGGCCGCCUUGGCCUGGACCUGAAGAAAGUGAAAGAAAAAUUUUGAGUCUAGCUCAACACCGACUUUUCUCAAUAUGCUGAGUUAUUUCAGACCACCUUGAAACAAGAAGCCAGCUCCAGCUUGACUUCUACAGCAGACAAGGAUGGAUAAGUACUAAAAUCUUUAGAUGUUUCAGUUUUGAACCUCCUUAGAAGAC